GCGGCCUAUCAGCUUGUUGGUGAGGUAAAGGCUCACCAAGGCGACGACGGGUAGCCGGCCUGAGAGGGCGACCGGCCACACUGGGACUGAGACACGGCCCUGACUCCUACGGGAGGCAGCAGUAGGGAAUAUUGGGCAAUGGGCGAAAGCCUGACCCAGCGACGCCGCGUGAGGGAUGAAGGUCUUCGGAUUGUAAACCUCUUUCAGUAGGGAAGAAGCGAAAGUGACGGUACCUAAAGAAGAAGCACCGGCUAACUAUGUGCCAGCAGCCGCGGUAAUACAUAGGGUGCAAGCGUUGUCCGGAAUUAUUGGGCGUAAAGAGCUCGUAGGUCGUUUGUCGCGUCGAUUGUGAAAAUCUGAGGCUCAACCUCAGACCUGCAGUCGAUACGGGCAAACUAGAGUGUGGUAGGGGAGACUGGAAUUCCU
rnacentral:rRNA from 1 species